UACGGAGGGUGCAAGCGUUGUCCGGAUUUAUUGGGUUUAAAGGGUGCGUAGGUGGUACAGUAAGUCUGGUUUGAAAGCAAGUGGCUCAACCAUUUGAUGUGGCUGGAAACUGUUGUACUUGAAUGGAUUGGCGGUAGCCGGAACGGGUCAUGUAGCGGUGAAAUGCAUAGAUAUGACCCAGAACACCGAUUGCGAAGGCAGGCUACUACGAUUUGAUUGACACUGAGGCACGAAAGCAUGGGUAGCGAACAGG
rnacentral:rRNA from 1 species